UACAGAGGGGGCAAGCGUUGUUCGGAAUUACUGGGCGUGAAGGGCUCGUAGGUGGCCAACUAAGUCAGACGUGAAAUCCCUCGGCUUAACCGGGGAACUGCGUCUGAUACUGGAUGGCUAGAGAUUGGGAGAGGGAUGCGGAAUUCCAGGUGUAGCGGCGAAAUGCGUAGAUAUCUGGAGGAACACCGGUGGCGAAGGCGGCAUCCUGGACCAACACUGACGCUGAGGAGCGAAAGCCAGGGGAGCAAACGGG
rnacentral:rRNA from 1 species